CACGCAGGCGGCUCGGCAGGUAGGGCAUGAAAUCUCCCGGCUUAACUGGGAGGGGCUGUCCUAAACCGCUGGGCUUGAGGGCGGGAGAGGGAAGUGGAAUUGCCGGUGUAGUGGUGAAAUGCGUAGAGAUCGGCAGGAACACCAGUGGCGAAGGCGACUUCCUGGUCCGCCCCUGACGCUCAUGUGCGAAAGCUAGGGUAGCGAACGGGAUUAGAAACCCCGGUAGUCCUAGCCGUAAACGAUGUAUACUAGGUGUCGGUGGUAUUGACCCCAUCGGUGCCGAAGCAAACGCGUUAAGUAUACCGCCUGGGGACUACGGCCGCAAGGCUAAA
rnacentral:rRNA from 1 species